UGGUGUGCUGAGCCCUGUACUAUUGGGAUAUUUUGGGAGGACAUUGGGUCACCCCAGGGUGAAAUCAUGGGGAAAUUCGUUAUCGGUGCAGGAGCAGGGUGCUGGGAAUCCCUUCACAAAUCGGCAUGGUGAAGGGAAAGGUGCCUCGUGGAGCAUUCAGCGUGCCCUUUGCCGUGCAGGCUUUCAGAAUGCAGUCACAGAGGGAUCGAUAGAUGUUUCUGCUUUCAGCAGGGUCUCCCAUGGAUCCUCCUCCUGGUUCAAUGCCACUUAAUCCCUUGAUGAGAUGUCGUCGCUGUGGUGGCUAUUGGCUCGUUACCCGGCCUGGUGGUAGGCCCGCGGCCUUGUCCCAGCCAACGCAGAGGGGAAACCUUCCCUUCUGAAACAUUUGCAUGACUUUUCUGCCUGAGCAUGGAACACUGAAAUGGGUGAAUUUCCAUGAAGAGCGGUGUUGUGCUGGCUGUCCAUCACUGCCCAGGCUCUGUUUGAGCCAGUGGAGCAGCCCGAAGGGACCACAGCUGCUUUGCUCUACGCGUCUCCGGCACCGGUGUCUGCUCGCUGGGAUGAGUUCAUCAGUAACGUUGCGCCUGGAGAGCAGUGUCGUGCCGUGACGCAUCACGGCGCUGGCCAGCGUGCGCUCAGGUUGAGUCAUUUGGGGAAAAAAUGAUGGUAAUAAUCAGCUGUUCACAGGUCAUGGUUUCCUCGGUGUCUGAGCAGUUCAUCUGUCUGCUGCGGGCUGGCUCUUCUGGAUGGAUUACAGAUGAGCAGAGGUUCUCUGCUCCUCUCUGGUGCUCCGCAUUUAUGUGGCCAUCUCAAUCCCAUCUAUUUAUACUUUCAUUUCAAGGGGCAAUAACCUCUCUGCUGAACAAUAGCAUACCGAAAGUUCCUGCUAGUAUUUUAUAACUCCCAGCACCUUCAGCUGCGUCGUCUUUGGCCUCGUUCUUUCUCUUCUCCAUUCAACGUCAGCCCAGGCUCCGGGGUCAAUCCUUUUUUCCCCUUGUUCCGGCGUCUCUCAGCCGGGGGAGCCUGUCCUGGGGUUGUGCAAUUCAUCCUGAUUGCUUUCUCUGAAUAAGUCCCUCUGUAAUUCACUGCAGUUAGAGCGUGCUGUUUGCCUGUUCUGCCUCAGUCCUUCCUCCAAUUGCUUCAGAAGCCUCUGCCCCAGGAGUUUCUGCACCAAACCCAUGGUCUGCUCUCACCUGGCACUGUGUGAGGUUGGUUGUGCCAUGCUUGGUGAGGAAAAAUCAUGAGAUUUGUCUGGGAUGCUCUCUGGGAAGGGACAGUCCCUGCUUGCGCAUCUGUGGGAGCAUCCAGGGCGAUGCUGGCCAUCCUGCAAGGGCAGGCAGAGCUGCAGGGUGAUGACAGGGGGAAAGGUGGAGGUGGGACAAGCUGCCCACCACUGAUUCCUCCUCUUCCCACCGAGUUUGGAAGCGCUCGAAGGCCUUUGACGAUAGCAACCAACUCGCUGCUUGUUCGGGUGAUUUCUUUAGGCGUGCCCUGCCUCCAAAAUCAGGAGGAAGCCUCUUAUUUUCCUCUGCUGUGGGAUGUUUAUAGACUCCCUGCUGCCAUCAGGAUUUUAGUCCACUCCAGGGUUUCAGAAACUUGCUGACACAGGGCUUUGGCUGUGCUGGCACGUUUAUUGCCAUAUCAAACCCUCCCGUGCCUGAUCUCACCAGCAUUUAUCCGUGCUUUUCGUCCCCACUGCGUGUGAUGACAGCGUCUCAUUUUCUUUCCGUAUUCUGUUCUGAGAUGUUUUUGCUUGAGCCCACUUUGUCAGCUCUGCAUUUCUUUGAGUUUCUGCUGACCCUAGUAAGAGUUAUGCAUGCUUUAUCACAUCCCUUUUUAUUUAUCUGCAUUCUUUUGCUUUGUACCGGAGCCAGAAGGGCCUCGGAGUUGACGUUGCUGAGUUCCCCAGCUGCAUGCACUGUACACCCUGUGCCUUUGUGCAUGUUCAUGCAAAAUUACUUUCUGUCCUACUUGGGGCAACAUCCCCGGCUGUCAUCGAGCUCCGCGUGAUGCGAUCCGCGCCCGUUGCAAAGCCUCUGCUAGGGGCUGCAGGUGGCUUUCCGUGUGUGCGCCUCUAUCUGCUAGCCAUAUCUUUGUUUUUAUCACCCACACUGGCAGGCUGUAAUGACUGCUUUUAUCUCUCCUCUUGGCAAUCUCAGAUGGUCUGGUUCCUCAGACUGCUUUUUGCAAAUGCUAACUUCUACCUUUAGCGGUUCUCCUUUUUGCGGUUCAUCUGGUCGAGAUUAGACCGGGUGCUGAAAGAUGUGCAUCUUGCAGGGACUUUCAUUACCAGCUUGAUGGAGUUUCUCACUGCUCGCUUAAUCCAGAGCCUUGUGACUCCUCUCCGAAAACUUUCCUGUGCCGGGUGGACACAUGGGCUGGAGGCAGGAGGGCUGUACGUUUAGGGUCGGGGGGGAGGUGUCAGAGAACAGUCUCUGUGGUUUUCUUGUAAUUUCUCAGUCCACACAGCCAAAGGUAUGUGGGGAACAAAAACCAAGGUCUCUGCAAGUGUGAAAUUGUGGGUGCUAGGUUGCGCUGGGUCACACAAGCAGCACUCCUGCUCAUGCACCCACUGCAUCCAGUUCCAAGCAGCUUUUUUAGGUCCAAGUCCAUGGAGGUUCCCCUCUCCUCACGCUCUGUGCUCAGCACGGGAUUUGGGGUUGCUCCAUGGCUCCCCACCACCAGGACUGGCAGUGCACGUGGAGUGCUGGGGUUGAUGAAACACGCUUUUGCUCAGUGAGGAUUUCCAAGCAUGCCGUGUCUCUCUCUGGCCAUUCAGGAUGCAGGCAGAGCCUGGAGCAUCAGCAGAGUCAUUUUAGGGGGGUGCUGAAGUUAUGACCUGGCUGUGCAUCGAUACAAACCCCUCCUCACAGGAGCUGCUCCCAGGACCACGAAGGGAUGCUCCCCAGUGCUUGGGGCAUCCCUGUGGAGAUGCCACCACAGCUGCCCCUUACACCACCCCUUCCUGAGGGCCAGGAUGCCCUCCCACCCUCCCCACCUGCAUCCCCAUCCCAGGGGCGCAUCGCUGCGAGCACCGAGCCCCCUGCAAGGAUGCUGUACCUGGGGUCAGCGGCGUGGUCCAGCCGGGGGGGUUGUUGCCAAGCAACCCGUCUCCCCCCGCCGGGUUUCCAUGGUGAUGGCGAUGCUGCCGAGGCAGGGCUGGGAGCCAGGCAGAUGCUGAAUUUCACAAAGCUGCACCCCUGCCCCAAAGCUCGGCGCGAGCCUGCAGGCACGGGGCUGCAAGCGGCGCAGGAGCUCCUGCAGCCAAAAGUGGGGCAGGAGCUGGGUGCUCCGUGGGGAGGCAGCGGGUGGGCGCACGUGGGUACGUGAGGGGACCUUGGCAGCCCGUCAGACCCCUGGGAGCAGGGCUGAAGAAAGCCAGGCUCGAAAGCUCGGAGCUUCACUGAGUGUUAUUGGUGCCUUUGGAUGUGGAGCAGGGGUAAGCGAAGGCAAAAGGACAAGCCCACAGGGCAGAGCCGUGCCCGAAUUCUGCAGAGCACGGAUCCCGCAGGCUCUCCCUGUCUCCUGACACCAGCCCACCUCUCAUUCAUAAUUCCUGGGGUCCCCUUGCUCACAACAGGCGCUGGUCUCUGCCAGGAAACCUUCCUAGGAUGAGCCCACACGGGGGAGGGACCCCCAAGACUCAUCCUCCAGCCUGCACCCUGCUUCUGCUGCUCCCUGGCAGCCUCCACUGCUGGCUAGCACGGGGCAUGGAGCAGCAUCCAAAGCUGCUCAGCGUUACUGGGUGCUUAGGACAGCUUUGGCUGCUCCACAGACAGCUUUUUCAGGCCGUGAAAUCCAUUCUGGUGCAGGGCCCCGUGGGAGUCUGCUUGGAGCAGGCAAAAGGAAAUUGGAGAUCCCAGACAGGCGGCGAGGAUGGGAGCAGGAGGAAAGGAGGAGCUGGUGCUCUGAGCUAGGGGCGCCCGGCUCUGAGAACAGUCCCUGCUCUUUCUGGUCGAGGAAAAGCUGGGUUCACCCUCCUGAUCCCAUUA